rnacentral:tRNA from 1 species
GGGUCGUUAACUCAGUAGGUAGAGUAGCUGCCUUUUAAGCAGCGAGUCGAAGGUUCGAAUCCUUCACGACCCACCA